AAUGUGCAGUAAAUCCAGCUGACAGAGUGGACUGUGGAUACAGAGGGAUUACCCAGGCAGAUUGCGAAGGAAAAAACUGCUGCUUCGAUUCCACUAUCCCUGAAACAAAAUGGUGCUUCUAUAAACCGGCAGAUGCUCCAGCUAAGAAAGCAGCAUGCGCAGUGCCCCCUGAAAAAAGAACUGACUGUGGAUACCCAGGGAUUACAGACAAAGACUGCAGGGCGAAGGGUUGCUGUUAUGAUGAAAGUAUUCCUGACGUUAUAUGGUGCUUCUAAAAAGCAGCACCUUAAUUGAUGGGCUACACAGAGAUAUCAUCAGAUCACAGAAAUUUACAAGUUUUGAUUUCAAAUGGAAUAUGUAAUCAAGGAUAUGUGUUGAUUAACUCCCAAUAAAACAGUUCUGCAUA